GCAGUGAGCCGGGCGAUUGCUGUCGUCCGCCUCCGCCCGCGCGCCCCUUCGGGGGGACGGCGGGCUCUGGCGCGACGAGAGAGGAAAGUCCGAACUCCAUAGGGCAGUGCGCCGGGUAACACCCGGGCGGGGCGACCCGACGGACAGUGGCACAGAAAACAUACCGCCCGCCUUCGCACCCUUCGGGUGCUUCGGCGCGGCAAGCCCGGAAACGAGGGCCUGCUGAGCCGUAGCACCGGAACGGUGCGGAGGCGGGUAAGGGUGAAAUGGUGGGGUAAGAGCCCACCGCGCGCCUGGCAACAGACGUGGCAGGCCAAACCCCGCACGGAGCAAGACCAAAUAGGGAGGCACAGGCCUCUCAACGCGGCUGCCGCGUUGGGACACCGCCGACGAACGGCCCGUUCGCGCCUCCGGGUAGGUUGCUCGAUCCCGCCAGCAAUGUCGGGACUAGAGGAAUGAUCGUCCCGCCGUAGCCCGCAAGGGCCAAGGCGGACAGAAUUCGGCUUAUAGGCUCACUGCGGCG
rnacentral:RNase_P_RNA from 1 species